GUUGACCUCGGAUCAGGUAGGAACCCCAG
rnacentral:rRNA from 1 species